ACACACACAAACACACAGACUGCUGAGUCCAUACACACAGACUGCUGAGUCCAUACACACAGACACACUGCUGAGUUCAUACACACACACUGCUGAGGCAAUACACACACACUGCUGAGUCCAUACACACAGGAAGACUGCUGAGUCCAUAUACACACAGUGCUGAGUCCAUGCACACACACUGCUGAGUCCAUACACACAUACACACAAAAACACACAGACUGCUGAGUCUAUACACACACACACACACACACAAACACAAACUGCUGAGUCCAUACACACAGACAGACUGCUGAGUCCAUACACACACACUGCUGAGUCCAUGCACACAGACAGACUGCUGAGUCAAUACACACAUACUGCUGAGUUCAUACACACAGACAGACUGCUGAGUCCAUACACACAGACAGGCUGCUGAGUUCAUACACACACACUGCCGAGUCCAUACACACAGACAGACUGCUGAGUCCAUACACAUACAGUGCUGAGUCCAUACACACAGACAGACUGCUGAGUCCAUACACACACAGUGCUGAGUUCAUACACACACACUGCUGAGUCCAUACACACACACUGCUGAGUUCAUACACACAUACAGACUGCUGAGUCCAUACACACACACUGCUGAGUUCAUACACACACACACUGCUGAGUCCAUACACACAGACAGACUGCUGAAUCCAUACACACACUGCUGAGUCCAUACACACAGACAGACUGCUGAGUCCAUACAUACACACACACACAGACUGCUGAGACCAUACACACACACAGACUGCUGAGUCCACACACAGACUGCUGAGUCCACACACAGACACAGACUGCUAGUCCAUACACACACACACUGCUGAGUCCAUACACCCACACACAGACUGGUGAGUCCAUACACACACACAGCCAGCUGAGUCCUUACACACACAGUGCUGAGUCCAUACACACACACACGGACUGACUGCUGAGUCCAUACACACACAGACUGCUGAGUCCACACACACACACACAC